rnacentral:rRNA from 1 species
AAUCGAACCCGGAGAUAGCUGGUUCUCCUCGAAAUAGCUUUAGGGCUAGCCUCAUACAAGUCUUGCGGAGGUAGAGCACUGAAUUUCCUAGGGGGCGUCAAAGCUUACCGAAGAAUAUCAAACUCCGAAUGCCGUGUAGAUGUUGUAUGGGAGUCAGACUGUACGAGAUAAGUUGGACAGUCAAAAGGGAAAGAGCCCAGACCUGCAGCUAAGGCCCCAAAAUGUGUGUUAAGUGGAAAAGGAUGUGGGAUUUCGAAGACAACUAGGAUGUUGGCUCAGAAGCAGCCAUACAUUCAAAGAGUGCGUAAUAGCUCACUAGUCGAGAGGUCCUGCGCCGAAAAUGUCCGGGGCUAAAACACAACACCGAAGCUGUGGAAUCACGUAAGUGAUUGGUAGAGGAGCAUUCUUAAGACCGACGAAGCUGUACCGGAAGGAGCAGUGGAGGGAUAAGAAGAGAGAAUGCCGGAAUGAGUAGCGAGAGAGAGGUGAGAAUCCUCUCGGCCGAAUAUCCAAGGUUUCCAGAGUAAAGCUGAUCUGCUCUGGGUAAGUCGGGGCCUAAGGAGAGGCAGAGAUGCGUAUCCGAUGGACAGCAGGUUUAAGAUUCCUGCACCCCUUGUUAUCAGAACUGCGGGGACACGGGAAGGGAAGCAGAGCCGGGAAUGGAAAGCCCGGUGCAAGCGAAGUAGUCGCAGGAUUGGAAAAUCCGUCCUGCAUGAGACAAAGGCGUGAUGCGGAGCGAAACAAAGUAGCGAAGCUGCGGCCCCUUCCUGUCGAGAAAAGCCGCUAUCGUGUAGCAAGGGCCCGUACCGUAAACCGACACAGGUGGAUGAGGAGAGAAUCCUAAGGCCGGCGGGAGAAGUGUUGUUAAGGAACUCGGCAAAAUGACUCCGUAACUUCGGGAGAAGGAGUGCUGCGCAAGCAGCCGCAGAGAAAUGGCCCAAGCAACUGUUUAGCAAAAACACAGGUCUAUGCGAAACCGAAAGGUGAGGUAUAUGGGCUGACGCCUGCCCGGUGCUGGAAGGUUAAGGGGAGAGCUUAGCGCAAGCGAAGGUUUGAACUUAAGCCCCAGUAAACGGCGGCCGUAACGAUAACGGUCCUAAGGUAGCGAAAUUCCUUGUCGGGUAAGUUCCGACCCGCACGAAAGGCGUAAUGAUUUGAGCGCUGUCUCGACAAUGCACCCGGUGAAAUUGAAAUACCAGUGAAGAUGCUGGUUACCCGCGCCAGGACGGAAAGACCCCAUGGAGCUUUACUCCAGCCUGAUACUGGGAUUCGGUAUUGCAUGUACAGGAUAGGUGGGAGGCUAAGAACUCAUGGCGCCAGCCGUGAGGGAGCCGGUGUUGGGAUACCACCCCUGCAGUACUGGGUUUCUAACCUGCGCCCGUGACCCGGGCGGGGGACAAUGUCAGGCGGGGAGUUUGACUGGGGCGGUCGCCUCCGAAAGGGUAUCGGAGGCGCUCAAAGGUUCCCUCAGAAUGGU